UACGUAGGGUGCGAGCGUUGUCCGGAAUUACUGGGCGUAAAGAGCUCGUAGGUGGUUUGUCGCGUUGUUCGUGAAAACUCACAGCUUAACUGUGGGCGUGCGGGCGAUACGGGCAGACUGGAGUACUGCAGGGGAGACUGGAAUUCCUGGUGUAGCGGUGGAAUGCGCAGAUAUCAGGAGGAACACCGGGGGCGAAGGCGGGUCUCUGGGCAGUAACUGACGCUGAGGAGCGAAAGCGUGGGGAGCAAACAGG
rnacentral:rRNA from 1 species